AAACUGCGAUAAGUAGUGUGAAUUGCAUUUAGUGAAUCAUCGAAUCUUUGAACGCACCCUGCACUCACUGGUAUUCCGGUGAGUACGCCUGUUUCAGUAUCAUUGAAAACACACAAUCAAAACAUUUUCUUUGGUUUGAUUGGCUUUGGGUCUAUCAAAAAGUUUGGCUUGUUUCUUACAAGCCAAGCGGCCUGAAAUAUAUUGUCUGGCUAAUUGCAUCGUUGAUGAUCGCUAUUAGACUUUGGCUUUUUUAAAUGAACUGGAGGUUGAUUAACCAGUUUUAGCUUUAUUCAACUGGUCAUUGUAAAAAAAAUCUCGAUCUUGGCUAGGUGUUUAUAGCCGAAAAUUUUUUUUUGGCUAUAACCGAAACCAAUAUAAUCACAUUUAGUUAUCGAUCUGAAAUCAGGUGGGACUACCCGCUGAACUUAAGC
rnacentral:misc_RNA from 1 species